UGCGCAGGCGGCUUAUUAAGUCAGUGGUGAAAUCUCUCGGCUCAACCGAGAAACUGCCAUUGAAACUGAUAAGCUUGAGUGUGGUUGUGGUAGGCGGAAUAUAGCAUGUAGCGGUGAAAUGCUUAGAUAUGCUAUAGAACACCGAUCGCGAAGGCAGCUUACCAAGCCAUUACUGACGCUCAUGCACGAAAGCGUGGGUAGCGAACAGGAUUAGAUACCCUGGUAGUCC
rnacentral:rRNA from 1 species